rnacentral:rRNA from 1 species
UACGAAGGGGGCAAGCGUUGUCCGGAAUUACUGGGCGUAAAGGGCGUGUAGGCGGUCUAUCAAGUCAGGCGUGAAAUUCCCGGGCUCAACCUGGGGGCUGCGCUUGAUACUGAUGGACUUGAAUGCGGGAGAGGAUAGUGGAAUUCCCAGUGUAGAGGUGAAAUUCGUAGAUAUUGGGAAGAACACCAGUGGCGAAGGCGGCUAUCUGGCCCGUGAUUGACGCUGAGGUGCGAAAGCGUGGGGAGCAAACAGG